UUUUGCCCUAUGACUUCAGGGAUGUUAACGGGCCACUUCUCUUUGAAUGGUCCCUUAGAAUAUAUGUUAACUACUUAUGCUAAACAAUCUUUUUGGUCCAAUAAAAGGUAUUACUUCAC